rnacentral:lncRNA from 13 species
UACUUUGCAAGUCCCGUGUUCUUAUAUGUAAUAUUUUUACAUUGAAUUGGAGUAUUUUGCAUAAUAUCGGAUCUCCGUGGAUAAAAAAACCUCAGAAAAUUGUGGAAUAAUAUUGCCAAACAUUGGUAAAUUAGAAUUUCUGGUUCAACGGCUACUACCAAGGUCAUAAAGUAUAAAGGAAAUUGUGGAAUAAUAUUGCCAAACAUUGGAAACAAUACGAGAGCAAGCAUUUCAUACUUUAUUGUUGACAGACCUCGCAUAUUUCAUUUUACAAGUUCUCUUGAAGAGGUGUAUGGACGGUUUGUUUUAUGAACAUAUAUAAAAUAUGUUAGAUA